rnacentral:piRNA from 1 species
GAAACCAAAUGUUGUCUACCGGUUCCGCA